AUGACUGUUGAUAUACCAAUCCUGUGUCUAUUUCCCUUUAGCUUUAAAGGAAUCACAAAAAAUGGAGACAGGUCUCCAGGUCUGUCUUCUGUUCUGAUCUCAAUAAUAGACAACGCUAAACUGAGGGAACUCGUUUCAAAAUGCAUCAGGGCACUGGAAAUGGCAUAUUGCCCUUACAGACGGUUCCCGGUCGAUGCCGCAAUAUCGACAGCAGAGAGUGCUAUAAUCAAAGGUUGCAAUGUGGGAAAUGCCUCUUUUGGGCGCACAGUGUGCGCUGAGUGAACAGAACAGCAACACAGAGAGCCAUAGCUCCAGUUCUCUGCUGCCAAUGACUGGAACGAUCUGCAAACAUCUCUGAAGCUGGAGACUCAUAUCUCCCUCACUAACUUUAAGCACCAGCUGUCAGAGCAGCUCACAGAUCACUGCACCUGUACAUAGCCCAUCUGUAAAUAGCCCAUCCAACUACCUCAUCCCCAUACUGUUAUUUAUUUCGCUCCUUUGCACCCCGGUAUCUCUACUUGCACACUCAUCUUCUGUACAUCUAUCACUCCAGUGUUUUAAUUUCUAUAUUGUAAUUAUUUCGGCACUAUGGCCUAUUUAUUGCCUGUCCUCCCUUAUCCUACCGCAUUUUUACACACUGUAUAUAGACUUUUUCUAUUGUAUUAUUGAUUGUAUGUUUGUUUAUUCCAUGUGUAACUCUGUGUUGUUGUUUGUGUCACACUGCUUUGCUUUAUCUUGGCCAGGUCGCAGUUGUAAAUGAGAACUUGUUCUCAACUAGCCUACCUGGUUAAAUAAAGGUGAAAUUAAAAAUACAUAAAAAAAAAUAGCUGAGGGACACAGGAAUUUGACUGCUGUUACAUGGUGAGAUACUAGCCUUGUAGCCCUCUAAAUCAUACCUUAUAAAUGACUUGUAAGACUGGUGAAACUGAACAUAUUGACCUGUCUUUAACCAUGAUCUAUAAUAACCAGUCUAACCAUGUCUGUCUGUCUCUGUCUCGCUCUCUCAAUUCAAAGGGCUUUAUUGGCAUGGGAAACACAUGUUUACAUUUCCAAAGUAAGUGAAAUGGAUAAUAAACAAUACAUUUUUUUACAGUAAACAGUACACUCACAAAAGUUCCAAAGGAAUAGAGACAUUUAAAAUGUCAUAUUAUGUCUAUAUACAGUGUUGUAACGAUAAUAGUUAAAGUACAAAAGGGAAAAUGUGUUCUGUAGUGGCAUUGUGGAGCUUCAAAACGUAGAAAUGAAAAACGUUUUUUUCAGAAGAAAGAGAAAAUAUUUGACUGGCUACACAUUCCUUCCUCUGGCCAAACGUUACACCACGCCCACGGACAGUACGUUUAGUUGGACUCUUCAGGCUAAGAAUCAAAUAUUCAAUACACUACAUUGCCUGUUUGCAUUAAAUAAAACCAUAUGAUUUUAACGUUUUUUGUAGCGUCAUGUGUAAGUGACAUAAAACCUUUGUUAUUUAUUUUUAUUAUUAUUAUUGUAUUCGCAUUGAUGUAGCAAAACGAGUUUCAUUGGAAACAUGGGAAUUAUAUAACUUUAACUUUACCACAGCCACAAAUUCAUAUUUGUUUUGUUUUAAUGAAUUGUAUCGAUAUAGCCAAUUUGGACUUUAUGGCUGUGGUAUCCAGUGGGAACCGGAACGAUCGGGCUUGUCAUGUGGUAAAAGAGGGCGUUUC
rnacentral:lncRNA from 8 species